rnacentral:rRNA from 1 species
UACGUAGGGCGCAAGCGUUGUCCGGAAUUAUUGGGCGUAAAGAGCUCGUAGGCGGUUUGUCGCGUCUGCUGUGAAAACCUAAGGCUCAACCUUGGGCUUGCAGUGGGUACGGGCAGACUGGAGUGCGGUAGGGGUGACUGGAAUUCCUGGUGUAGCGGUGGAAUGCGCAGAUAUCAGGAGGAACACCGAUGGCGAAGGCAGGUCACUGGGCCGCAACUGACGCUGAGGAGCGAAAGCGUGGGGAGCGAACAGG